AUUGAACGCUGGCGGCAGGCCUAACACAUGCAAGUCGAACGAGUGGCGGACGUGUUAGUAAUGUCUGGGAAACUGCCUGAUGGAUGGUGAUAACUACUGGAAACGGUAGCUAAUACCGCAUACCAUCAGAUGUGCCCAGAUGGGAUUAGCUUGGUGGUGGGGUAAUUGCUCACCAAGACGACGAUCCCUAGCUGGUCUGCGAGGAUGACCAGUCAAACUGGAACUGAGACACGGUCCAGACUCGUACGGGAGGCAGCCGUUGGGAAUAUUGAACAAUGGGCGCAAGCCUGAUGCAGCCAUGCCGCGUGUAUGAGGAGGGCCUUCGGGUUGUAAAGCACGUACAGUGGGGAGGCGUUACCCGCAGAAGAAGCACCGGCUAACGCCGUGCUAGCAGCCGCGGUAAUUC
rnacentral:rRNA from 1 species